CACUCAAGAUGGCGAAACCUCGGCCGCCGCGGCUAUAUUCGCCGCGGCGUCACUGCCUUCCUGGCCUGGUGGUGAGAGGAAGCCGGGCCGCGAAAGCUUCCUGAGGAGAAAAUGGAGGGCCCUUCUCUCACACCGACGAGAAAAGUUCGAGGGGGAAAUACGAGUUCCUUUUUGAAGGGACAGGACGGCUGCUUUUCCACAGCCGCGACGUGAUUGAGAAAUGGUGGCUGGCAAGGGUAGCCCUGCCUUCGCCCGUCCAAAGUAAAAAUCGGGAGUUGAGACCAGAGGAACAUCUCUUUAUUACCUGACUAAGGAUAUGUUUUGAAAACUGGCCCCCGGGCAGCUGCUCGGGGACAGGAAGCUGACCUGACUCCUCCUGCUGGCCGGGGAGGCUGAUGCCGGGCCUAAGGGGCCGCGUCCGAGCCUCUCGGGGCGCGCCUCCAUGCAGGAAGGCGCGGAACUAGCGGCCCGGAGACGCCGGGCGCGCGUCUGAGUGUGGGGGCCGGAAGGGGGGCCGACCGGGCCCGGAGGCCGCACCAGGCAGGAGGGAGGACUCCAGAGAGCGCGCGGGGGGCGCUGCGCGGUGGGACGGGGCGGGCCUGUAGGGCGCGCCUGGCGGGGGGUAGGCUCCGGGCUUGAGGGUGCGCCUGGCGGGGCUGGUUGUGGGGGAAGGCACCGGGCUUGAGGGUGCACCUGGGCGGGGGAAGUCUCCGGGCAUGAGGGCGCGCCUGCGGGUGGUAUGGGGGGGUACACCGAGCUUGAGGGUGCGCCCGGGGGGCUCUCAUGUGAAGGGUACCAGGCUUGAGGGCGCCCCUGCGGGGGGGCAGAGGCACCGAGCUUGAGGGUGCGCAUCGGGGGUCUGCGGGGGGAAGGCACCGGACUUGAGCUGCGCCGGGAGAGGACAGCGGGGGACCGGACUGUGAGGGCGUAUCUUGGGGGACCUGUCGGGGAGGAACCGGGAGGUGAAGGCACAACUGGGGGUGAGGCGGGGGCAGGGGCCGGGCUGUGAGAGUGCGACUGAGGGGGAUUACUCCGGAGAGCAGGGAGCUGGGGGCGUUGCGCAGGUGGAGUGGGGAGGCCUGGUAGAGAGGGUAGCAAACCGAGAGAGCGCACCGGGGUGGUGGGGGGAGAAGCUGGACUGUAAGGUGAAGAGUUAGUAGGGCGCAACCGUCUUCUCCUGCCCUCGAAGGGCAAGACUGAAGAAAGUAGGGGCGGAGGAGGCCGGGCCCUCCACUAAAGGGAGGGAAGCUAGUGAAGCGUCAGUUAUAAUAGAAAUAGGAAUUCAGUAAGGAAAUGGAGAAGCUUAAGGCAGAGGGUGACUCUCCUGCCUGACCCUCACUAUGAAGAUAUUUAUGUAUGUUCCCAUAAUUACUUUUCAGAUCCCAAUGUCUGUGUUUAUCCUUGACAGAAAUAAUAGAACUGCUGUCUUCUUCCAAGUUAAACAAAACUUUGGAGCUAAAAGCUAGCUAGGUCAAGAGAAACAAAAUCUAAGUCUCACCCAAUUGAGAGACUGAAUAUACAAAGAAUGGCCAAACCUACCCAUGACCUCCUACCCAGAAGGGUCAGGACUUGAUCUUUAACCGGCAGCUUCCCUAUUUCUUGCCCCUGCUUCCAGCUCUGGGCCAAUCAGAGAAAGCCAAACGUGCUCCUCACACCAAUCGCGUAAGAAGCCCUGCUUCUAGUUAGCCCUCCUCCAACUUCCCGAUGCCAACAUCCUCCAAUCAGAGCCAACCUGAAGUUUCUCCCUUUUUUCAGUAUAUGUAAAGCUUUUCCACUCCCCUGCCUGCCUAUGAGUCUAUUAAAUCAAGUGAUGGGUCGCGGCUGACUCUUGCCAGCUCUGAGUAAAUAGCCUAUUCUCA
rnacentral:lncRNA from 1 species